UACGGAGGGUGCAAGCGUUGUCCGGAAUCACUGGGCGUAAAGGGCGCGUAGGCGGCUCAUGAAGGCUGUGGUGAAAGUCCGGGGCUCAACCUUGGAUCGGCCGUGGCGACUCGUGGGCUGGAGCACUGUAGAGGCGGGUGGAAUUCCGGGUGUAGCGGUGGAAUGCGUAGAGAUCCGGAAGAACACCAGUGGCGAAGGCGGCCCGCUGGGCAGUGGCUGACGCUGAGGCGCGACAGCGUGGGGAGCAAACAGG
rnacentral:rRNA from 1 species